rnacentral:rRNA from 1 species
ACGGAAGGCAGCAGUGGGGAAUAUUGGACAAUGGGGGAAACCCUGAUCCAGCGACGCCGCGUGAGUGAAGAAGUAUUUCGGUAUGUAAAGCUCUAUCAGCAGGGAAGAUAAUGACGGUACCUGACUAAGAAGCCCCGGCUAACUACGUGCCAGCAGCCGCGGUAAUACGUAGGGGGCAAGCGUUAUCCGGAUUUACUGGGUGUAAAGGGAGCGUAGGUGGUUUGGCAAGUCAGAAGUGAAAUGCAGGGGCUCAACUCCUGAACUGCUUUUGAAACUGUCAGACUAGAGUGCUGGAGAGGUAAGUGGAAUUCCUAGUGUAGCGGUGAAAUGCGUAGAUAUUAGGAGGAACACCAGUGGCGAAGGCGGCUUACUGGACAGUAACUGACACUAAUGCUCGAAAGCGUGGGGAGCAAACAGGAUUAGAUACCCUGGUA